UGGAGAGCAGACAGAUGAUUUCCAUAGAGAGGAGGCUUUGCAUGGUCAGCUGAUCCUCCAGUGAACUGAGAAGGUUUAUAGUCGUGUGAGUUCAACACUGCAGGACUCACAUGUGUCAGUCAACACAGCACAAAGCACAAGCAGCAUGACUCUCAUCAGCAUCUUCAUCUGGACACUGGCCUGCUGCUGCUUCACAGGAUCCAGCAGUCAGGUGACUGUGACUCAGCCUCCAGUGGUGAAAUCUACUCCAGGAUCCACUGUCACCCUGUCCUGUAAAACCAACCCAAAGGCUUAUACUUGGUCAGAUGGAGAUUUUGGAAUAGGCUGGUAUCAGAUAAAAUCUGGAGAAGUUCCCAAACUCCUGAUCUACUAUGGCCGAAAGACUGCAAGUGGUAUUCCCUCUAGAUUCACUGGCAGUGGAGACGGUGUUAAUCCUGUUUUGACCAUCAGUGGAGCCCAGGCUGAAGAUGCAGCAGUUUAUUACUGUCAGAGUUUCCAUGAUGGCCCAGUGUUCACACAGUGAUAAAGGGCCGUA